CAUAGCCAGGGCAAAGGAGUUAGCUCUUCUUCUACACUUCUCCGCAAAGUAAUGAGCAAGAUGAGGAGGAAAACAUGAAGUUGUCAUCCUUAUUGUCCCUUUAUGGGAUGGUCUACGACAUGUUCAUCAACAAAUUAGGUCCAGGCGCGACCUUUAGUUGUCUAGCUCUUUAAACAUGAUCAAGGAGACGAUACUGAAAACAAGUGACCACACGGUUAAAAUUUUGUCACGGGGAAAGGCCAUCACAAAGAUGGUCAUAUCAAUGAUGUAACACAGUGGCGGCAGGUUCAUCAAACAAGUGGAUCUUAAGAGUUUGAUAAAUGCGUUCUCUAGUGCUUUGAACAUUCCAAAACUCGACUAGACUAUGGUUUUCAGCUCCACCCCAACAGUUUUGAAACCACAUCGAAGCUUGUCACGUGUAAUCUUGUGUCCCUCGUGAAAGAAGCAAAACAAUUGUAUGUCAUGGUGCCACCUGCCUCUGUGAUUGGUUGAUUCUAGAUAUGGCUAAGACUCCUCGUAUAUAUACAUUCACUGAAUAGCUAUUGUUCAUUUCCGUAUAUUUAAUUAGCUCACUGCAAAUGUGUGGUCAAUCUCCUCGUCGUGAGAAAGUGUUAUGUAUUGUUUGUGUUCGUGAUUAUGAUCAUGAAGUGAAGAAUUGAUGGACACCCAGCAAUAGAAGUGUGUCUCCGAAAUAUGAAGUUUAAGAACUACCCAGUAUUGGUGUGUUUGUGAAACAACUACAAUUACUCCAUUUAUUUCUUGCUGCAUGCUCCUUUGACUUUUACUUAUAUGUUGGCUUACAUUUUUUUUUCUAAUUCCAAGUUAACAAUACAACUAUGGUCGAAGUCGAUAGCAGUUCACGCACCUCAUUUAAAAUUAUUUGCUUGACAAAAACAGUUGAAACAACAUUGACACAUAAAAAGAAAGAGAUGUCAAGUAACAGUCUCAAACUGACCUCAAUGACUCCCCUUAGCAACUUGGCAGGGAAAUCUUUUGUUCUUCUGGAAGUCAACAUUCAACUCAUACUCCUUCGACUUACCAUCCAACUAAGUACAGGCAAAUUAGUUAUUGAUUUGAUAUGCAGCCAAAGUGAAAAAACGAGUAAUAACCUGUAAAAAAAAAACUAGGAUACUUAAUCACCUCAUUCCUAAGAUAUUUC
rnacentral:lncRNA from 1 species